rnacentral:rRNA from 1 species
GAUGAACGCUGGCGGCGUGCUUAACACAUGCAAGUCGAACGAUGAAGCCCAGCUUGCUGGGUGGAUUAGUGGCGAACGGGUGAGUAACACGUGAGUAACCUGCCCUUAACUCUGGGAUAAGCCUGGGAAACUGGGUCUAAUACCGGAUAGGAGCGUCCACCGCAUGGUGGGUGUUGGAAAGAUUUAUCGGUUUUGGAUGGACUCGCGGCCUAUCAGCUCGUUGGUGAGGUAAUGGCUCACCAAGGCGACGACGGGUAGCCGGCCUGAGAGGGUGACCGGCCACACUGGGACUGAGACACGGCCCAGACUCCUACGGGAGGCAGCAGUGGGGAAUAUUGCACAAUGGGCGCAAGCCUGAUGCAGCGACGCCGCGUGAGGGAUGACGGCCUUCGGGUUGUAAACCUCUUUCAGUAGGGAAGAAGCGAAAGUGACGGUACCUGCAGAAGAAGCACCGGCUAACUACGUG